GAACCUUACCUGGCCUUGACAUACUAAGAACUUUCCAGAGAUGGAUUGGUGCCUUCGGGAACUUAGAUACAGGUGCUGCAUGGCUGUCGUCAGCUCGUGUCGUGAGAUGUUGGGUUAAGUCCCGCAACGAGCGCAACCCUUUUCCUUAUUUGCCAGCGGGUAAUGCCGGGAACUUUAAGGAUACUGCCAGUGACAAACUGGAGGAAGGCGGGGACGACGUCAAGUCAUCAUGGCCCUUACGGCCAGGGCUACACACGUGCUACAAUGGUCGGUACAAAGGGUUGCUACCUCGCGAGAGGACGCUAAUCUCAAAAAGCCGAUCGUAGUCCGGAUCGCAGUCUGCAACUCGACUGCGUGAAGUCGGAAUCGCUAGUAAUCGCGGAUCAGAAUGCCGCGGUGAAUACGUUCCCGGGCCUUGUACACACCGCCCGUCACACCAUGGGAGUUUGUUACACCAGAAGUAGGUAGUCUAACCGCAAGGAGGACGCUUACCACGGUGUGGCCGAUGACUGGGGUGAAGUCGUAACAAGGUAAGCGUAGAUGA
rnacentral:rRNA from 1 species